CCAGACUCCUACGGGAGGCAGCAGUGAGGAAUAUUGGUCAAUGGCCGAGAGGCUGAACCAGCCAAGUCGCGUGAGGGAUGACGGCCCUACGGGUUGUAAACCUCUUUUGUCGGGGAGCAAAGCGCGGUACGAGUACCGUGAAGGAGAGUACCCGAAGAAAAAGCAUCGGCUAACUCCGUGCCAGCAGCCGCGGUAAUACGGAGGAUGCGAGCGUUAUCCGGAUUUAUUGGGUUUAAAGGGUGCGUAGGCGGAUUAGUAAGUCAGCGGUAAAAAUGCGGUGCUCAACGCCGUAUCGCCGUUGAAACUGCGGGUCUUGAGUGAGCGAGAAGUAUGCGGAAUGCGUGGUGUAGCGGUGAAAUGCAUAGAUAUCACGCAGAACUCCGAUUGCGAAGGCAGCAUACCGGCGCUCAACUGACGCUGAGGCACGAAAGCGUGGGGAUCGAACAGGAUUAGAUACCCUAGUA
rnacentral:rRNA from 1 species